UGGGGGAGGGGCGGGGCGGGCCGCGCGAGACCCGGGAAACAUGGCUGCUCGUCCUAUUUCGGCGUCGCGGCGUGGCCACCAGCCCCCGGAUCCGAGUUGGGAGAGGCUCCGAAGAGGCUCCCGCGCCGGCGGAAUUCAAUCAAUAAACCCCGAACCCACGGCCGCGCGUUUUAGGACUUUGAAGGCUCAACCAGCUCCGCUCGGUUCUCGAGCCCCCAGCACCCGCGGCGCACACUAACCUGAUCACGGUGGAGGCGGGACCUGCGGGCCGGCGGAUGAGCGGCAACAGCUGGAGCCAAUCGCCGCCGAGGGUCUCCGGGCAACAGCCAAUGGUGGCAGCGGCGGGGGGGGAAGGGACCAAUGGGCGGGCUGCGCAGCCGGCCAGGGAGGCUCAGCCAUUUGGUUGUGGUGCCGGAGACGGACCCCUUUAGAUUUCGGGGCGGCUGAGGAGCGCGGCGGCUGCUUGGUGGCUGAGCUAGGGGGGUGGGCAGAAUGGCGGGGGAAGGGAAGGUGACUGCGCCUCGAGAGCCUAGCCGCUCGGCCUCGCCAGCCCGCCGCCGCCGCCUCAGCGUUUGGCCGGGGGCGGGGCCGCAGGUGCGUUACUCGAGGGGGAGGGGCGCGGCCGGAGGGGUCGGGGUCGGGAUCCUCGCAGGGCCGAGGGCUUCGCGGGGACGCCCUGGGCCUGCCCGCCUCGCUGGAGCGGGUUGGUGAAAGAGGUGGACGUCCGGCGCGAGGUCUCGGGGCCGCGGGCUGCCCCGCGGGCUGGCUGAUGAAAGGCCUGGAAAGAGGGGGGAGGGGUCAAGGGUGCAGUGGGAGGAGGGGCUGGUCAUUUUCUGGGUCCGGAGGGCCGAGCGGUGGAGCGUGGCUGCUGCCCUCCACCCCCUCCGCGGGUUCCCACCCCCCCGGCUGCGGCUCACAGCCCGCGCGCCCCUUCGCCUCCCGCCUCGUCCUCGUCCAGCCGCGGCCAUCGCCGCCCCUCUAAUAAACAAGUAAAUGAAAGCAAGAUGCGUCCACCUUUGGAUGACUUUCCUCGCGGUCUUGACCCUCUCUACGGAGGGGCCUUUCAAUUUGCUGUCAUGUAAGGUCAGCCUGGAAGGAGCGAUCACCAAGAGGCACCCAGGAUCUUGUUCAGCCAAUAAAUGAAUGGAGACCAUGGAUUAAGAGUUGUUGCUGAAUAUACUGAAUAUUAAAAAAAAAAAAAAAAAAAGUGAAAAGGGAAGGUGCUAAUAACUUCUGGUUUUCUGGUCCAAACAUAAUUUGAUGGGCUUUGUAGACCUAGUGAAAGGAAACGGCGCACAGUUUAUUCUAAUCGUCCACCUGACUCAUUUGGUUCAAUUUGGGUUGCCCAAGAGGCUCUAUUUGGAGCACUUUCUCCAGGUUUUACGGUUUGCUUGCUUUGGGUUUUUUUUUUUGUUUUGUUUUGUUUUGUUUUGUUUUGUUCUGUUUUGUCAUCACAUUAGUUUUUAGACCUUAAAGCCUUCAUCCCCACUGGGUUACCUACUUCUUAUGGCCAGGCCUUGGACCUUGUCAUGUACUAGGUUGGCUGCCUAUGGCUGUUAAUAAAUCAUGGGGAAUUGUUGUCAACAAGGACGGAUCCAUCGUUACCCUUCCACACAAGUGUUUUUCAGUGCUUCUAUUUCUGUGUGUCCACACUUUUCCUUAUACACGCCAAGGUGGUUUUUAGGUGGGGAUACAUUGUAUUUUAUUUUUCAGGCACAUGGGUUCAAGGGAGCGAUAAAGCAGUAUGUAUGUUGCAAAUUUGAAAUAUUGUUACAUAACACCAAUACAGUUUCAUUCUUGAGCGUAUAAAGUUGAGGAGGAAAUAGAAAGUGACGGAAUGUAAAUAAAACGCAGAGAAUGCUCACACUGGGGAAGAAACUGUAGUAACUCUGAUACUGUAACCUGAUGGAUUGUAAUCUUAAAAUCCUACAGCCAAGCAUUGUACUCGGUAAAUUUUUCUUUCAGAUAAAAUAAUAAGUGGAAUUUGAAAAGUGAUAACGUUUACCCUGAGUAGCUGGGAAAUCCAAAAUAAAAAUGGAAAGCCAUUGUUUUAUUUCAUCGGGGUAGUAGCGUGUAAUGUAUUUGACUUGUUGACUUAGCCCACAUGUUUGUCUUCCUCAGUUUUUAUAAUCUCGUUGAACUCAGUUUGUGUAGUUGGAAUUUAUUUAUUUGUAAACUGUAUUGGCUUUGUUAUAGGACAUACAGGGACCCUAAAUUACCUCUCUUUGCCAGAGUCAGUUGUUAUUUCUGGAUAUAGCAUUUAAGGUGGUUUCGAAACAGCUUUUCAUCACAUACAUUAAGUCAAUAUGAUGUGUAGAAGAUAUGUAACAGAGGAGUACUGAAGGUUAUGUUCUAUUUGAUGGUAAAUGCUUGUCUUCAAUUUGAAUUUUUAACCACAGUUAAGUCCACACUGCUAGCAAUGUGAUAGGGAAACAGGGCCUUUCCAGAGGACUAAUCCUUUAAAAGCCAACCAAUCAAAUGCAGAGAUGUUCCCUUAUCCAGCUCUGCUGAACAGAAGCAAAUAGCUCACCUUGUCACACAAAGAUUGCAGAAGAUGACUUGGAAGCCUAAACCCCCGUGAAAGAGAGUUACAGGACAAAUUAAGGUUACAAUUGAAAAAAAUUGUGGUUUGGUCACUAAGUCAAAAUAUCAAGCAACAAUUGUUUUUAGAAGGAUCUUUUAAACAUUUUGAUAGCAGAUUUUGUAUUGGUGCCAGAGAAUUGAAAGAAGACUUCACUAGAUUCCAAUCGUACAGAAGUUGAAAUAUCCAAAAAGUAUAUAUAACCAAUUGAAUACUUAACUUCCCAUCUUCCAACAUACUUUUUUUAAAAGAUUUUUUUUUAAGUAAUCUCUAUACCCAACAUGGGCUCUAACUCACAACCCCAAGAUCAAGAGACACUUGCUCUCCCACAGAGCCAGCCAGGUGCCCCUCCAACAUACUUUGAAAGGACAGACUUCCUCUCACUUCCACAAAUAGAUUUGUUUGUAGUUUUUUUCUAAGAAAAUUUUAAUGAUUCUGACUUUUUCUUACCAAAAGGAAAUGGAAAUUUCACUCUAAAGCUGAGCCAUUUACCCCAUGCCACUUGACAAAAAAAAAAAAGAAAAGAAAAAAGAACUCUUAAUAUUCCUUAUUUUAUGGAGUUGUUUCUUAAAUUACAUUUCAUUGCAUAAUAUAGUAUUAAACAAACGCUCUGAAUGAUUCUGAAUAUCAGAAGAUAGAGUAAGAAAAGGGCAUUCUAUAGUGGGAGUUCGGUUAUAAAAGUUGCAGUCUGUAACUUCUGGAGCUGGAUUUGAUUCACACUGAGAAGAAUAAAUGAGCUACAAUUCAAAGGCUUGAGCCCAUAGGGAGAAAGAUGGCCUUCAAGUAAGGAAAGAUGUCUUCCUGCCUUCCAGGAUAUUCUAGAAUGUUUUUCCUUCAAGAACCAUUCCAAAUAGAUGAGCAUCCUAUGUUCUCUAAGAGGUCUGAUCUGAGCAAUGGAUGUCUUAGCUUCUUGAUACAUGUUGGAAAGUACUGUUUUAUAAAUAACCCACAGUGAGGCUGCCGCCAUGUAAGCUCAUUUGCCCUUGCUUGGUGUCCAAAGAUGGAGGCCCUCUGGUUAGCAUUCUUUUUAGGAGUUGAACGAAUGUAUUCACAGUUCAACUUUUCGUUCUUCAGCCCGAAUCACAUACAUUGGAACCUGGCCAUUGUACUUUUUCACCUACAUCAUGGUUCUGCUGCCUGGACCCCAAAAGACAAUGAUAUGGAAAGACUCCAGCUUAAUUAUGUUCUCUUUUGUCUUUCUAUAUAAAUAGCUUUUAGAAAUGUAGAUUAUUCUUUUGAAAUCCAUGGUAACAAAUGUGAAGACUACUGCAUUUUGGUUUGAAUAGCAAAAGACUGUUGAGGUCCAGGAUCUAAAAAGUUAACUAUUAAUUCUUUUGCUUAAUAAAGCUUUGAGUGGUUUUAUUUUUUAAAUUAUUGAAUAGUUACUUUUUCAAUGGGUUGGGCAUAGAGAAAAAGCACUGCUAGAUGAAAAGUCAUUCCAUGUGAUUUUUAAAAUUAAAUUAAUAGUAAAAAUUUUAAAGCCACCUUAAGGAUGCUUUAUUUUGAAAAGGAAAAAAAAAAAAUCAACAUCACCUGCACACUAGUUUGGAAAUCACUAGAGUUUUUUUGAAUCUGAUUCUUAAAUAUAUUUAUUAAAGAUAAUUCGGGGGUUUCAAUAAGAGAAAGUUGAUUACCAUUCACCAAGAAUACCAGAACUAUAAGCUCUGGCGUCUGGUAUUAAAAUAUGACUAAAAAUAGAUGCCUUAAAGGCAAAUAAUGGAAUGAGAAGCCAUUAGAACAAGACUGUGACUAAGGGUAAGCUAGGCUGAAAAAACAGAAUUGCAAUUAAUUUCGAACUUACUAUUUGUUUUAUUUUAUUUUUUUCCUUAAGUAGACUGCAUGCCCAGUGCUGAGCCCAACAUGGGGCUUGAACACACAACCCUGGGAUCAAGACCUGAGCUGAGAUCAAGAGUCAGAUGCUUAAUCGACUGAGCCACCCAGGCACCCCCCUACUCAUUUGUUGUAAUCUAUCUGCAGUUGAAGUUUGCCACUGAAGAAAAAGGUUCCCACCCAAGGAUUGAAUUGUCUUAAAAGCAAUUCGUAAGAGAGAUGGGAAUUACAGAGCUCACUAACUCUAAUUUUGUGUCUAUGCCAAUUUUAAAGAGGAUACACAAUUUUCCUUCCUUUGGGUUUUGCAUUCUUCAAAAAGCAAGAAGGAAUGAGAUGGCAAAGCUCAACGAUGUGAAACCAUGAAACUCCUAGAAGAAAACAUAAUGGGUAAACUCCUUGACAUUGGUCUUGACAAUGACUUUUUGGAUGUGACACCAAAAGCAAAAGCGACCAAAGCAAAAAUAAAUAGGCGGGACUACAUCAAGCUAAAAAGCUUCUGCACAGCAAAGGAAACCAUCAGCAAAUGAAAAGGCAACCUACAAAAUGGGAGGAAAUAUUUGUAAACCAUACAUCUGAGAAGGGGAUAAUAUCCAAAAUAUAUAAAGAACACAUACAACUGAAUAACAAACGAUCCAAUGAUAAAAAAUGGACGGAGUGGGGUGCCUGGCUCAGUCGGUGGAGCAUACAACUCUUGAUCUCAGGGUUGUGGGUUGAAGCCCCACGUUGGGUGUAGAGAUUGCUGAAAAAUAACAUCUUUUAAACAAACAGAUGGGAAGAGGAUCCGAAUAGACAUUUUCCAAAGAAGACCUACAAAUGGCCAACAGGUACAUGAAAAGGUACUCAACAUCACUAAUCAUCAGGGAAAUGCAAAUCAAAACCACACAGAGAUAUCACCUCACACCUAUCCAGAAGGUCUAGUAUCGAAAAGACAAGAGAUAACAAGCGUUGGUGAGGAUGUGUGAGGAAAGGGAACCCUCGUGCACUGUUGGAAAUGUAAAUUGGUGAAGCCACUAUGGAAAAUAGUAUGGAGUUUCCUCAAAAAAUUAAAAAAAGAGCUACCAUAUGAUCCAACAAUUCCACUUCUGGAAUAUAUCUGAAGGAAAGGAAAUUGUUAUCUUGAAAAGAUAUCUGUACCCUCACAUUCACUGCAGCAUUAUUUACAGUAGCUAAGACAUGGAAAUAACCUAAGUGUGCAUCAGUGGAUGAAUGCAAAAGAAAAAUGUGAGACCUAUCUGUUUAUCUAUCUAUAACUCAGUCAUAAAAAAGUAGGAAAUUUUGCAACAACACGGACAGAACUUGGAAGUAUGCUAACUCGUUGUAAGUGGAAUAAGUCACACAGAGAAAGAAAUAUUAUAUGAUCUCACUUAGGUGGGGAAUCUUAAAAAAACCAAAGUCAUAGGUACAGACAAUAAGAUUGUGGUUGUCGGAGGGAGGGGUCAGGAGGUUGGACAAAAUGUGUGAAGGUAGUCAAAUGGUAUAAACUUCCAGUUUAUAAGCUCUGGGGAUUUAUUGUACAGCAUGGUGACUGUAGUUACUACUGUAUCAUAUAUUGAAAAGCUGCUAAGAGAGUAGAUCUUAAAAGUUCUCAUCACACACACACACACACACACACACAAUUGUAACCAUUUGUGGUGAUGGAAGCUGACGAAACUUACUGUGGUGAUCAUUUUGCAAUAUGUGCAUAUAUCGAAUCAUCAUGUUACACCCCUACAGCUAAUACCAUGUUAUGUGUUCAUUAUAUCUCAAUACAACCGGGAAAAAAAAAUUCUGAUUUUUUUGAAAAAGAGGGAACGAGACGACAAAGCUCGUCUGUUUCACUCUCCUUUAACAGCUGGAGUUCUGAGCACUUGUACUGCCAUGUUCUGUCUCUGACCAAAGAAAUCUAAUUUCCACCUCUCAUGGUCUAUAAAUAUGAACAUCAGUGUGUCAGUGUUGCAGGCUUACUCCAAUUAUAUGAACAGGAAAUUUAGCAAAGGUGAGGAUGAGUAUAUUUGAUUAAGCUAUUCAUUGUUUUAUGGAAGGUGUGAAAAUAAAGGACUUUCGACGUGGGAUUUGAAUUUGACAGAGACUAUUUGGUAAGAGGCUUUAUGUGUUUAGCCUCACACUAGAGUGAGAGAUGAGAAAAAACAGAACGGUUCUUUAAAUUAAUUCCUUUUAAAAAAUGAAUUCUCUUGACUUCCAGCUCUAGUUGUGAUUGAGUGCCUGACAUUGGACUCACCUUCCCGCUGUAAACAACAAUAGAAGCUAGACAAUUGUAUAAGACAACAACUGCGGGCUUUGAACAGAAACCAAGGCAGGGUUAUUACCCUUCAGAAAAGGGAAGCGCAUGAGGUCAGCCUUGCAUUCAUCCCAGCACAGGGACGUGGAGCCCAGGCAGGGAGCAGCAACGUCUCUGGGCAGAGGAAACAGAGGUCAGAGCACAAGCCCUCUAACACUGCUGGGUGUGGAGGGCAAGGUGCUUGGGAGGAGGGAGUUGCAGAGAAGGAAUCCUCCACAAUUGCAUCCAAACUUCCCCUGAGUACUUGGCCCACUGGUAAGCUGUGUAUGAGCAGGGCAAGACUCCAGGAGACCCAGCAGGGAACAGUUUCCAGGAGGCGAUUGCCAAACAGACUUCAGAGGCUUCACUAUCAGGGGAAGGAGACAGGGGAGGUUAGGCCCAGCCUAAUGCAGAAUGUAUAAACAUUCAUGAGUACGGAGGCACGCAUGGAGACCCCAGAAAGGUCACACCCCGGGAUUGAGGACCAUGAAAUAUCAACGUCAACAGAAGUUUGGAUUCCAGUCCACGUGGAGGACUUGGAGGGGUCAAGUCUUCAGUGGAAGAAGUAACUGCGGAUGUGGUAGAAAUAGCAAGAGAACUGGAAUUAGAAGUGGAGUCUGAAGAUGGGGCUGAAUGGCUGCAGUCUCAGGAUAGAACUUAAUGGAUGAGGAGCUGCUUCUCAUGGGUGAGCAAAGAAGGCGGUUUCUUGAGAUGGAAUCCACUUCCGGCGAAGAUGCUGUGAAGAUGGUUGGAAUGACAACAAAGGAUUUAGAAUAUGACACAAAGUUAGUUGAUAAAGCAGCAGCAGGGUUUGAAAGGAUAGAUUCCAAUCUUGAAAGACUAAAAGAUAGAUUUCCAAUUUUGAAAAUGCCAUGAAACAGCCUCACAUGCUGCAGAGAAAUCGUUUACGAAAGAAAGAGUCAGUCAUUGUGGCAAACUUUGUUGUUGUCUUACUUGAAGAAAUUGCCACAGCCACCCCACCCUUCAGUCAUUACUGCCCUGAUCAGUCAGCAGCCAUCAACAUCAAACAAGACCAUCCACCAGCAAAAAGUUGAUGACUCACUAAAAGCUCAUGUGAUGGUUAGCAUUUUUUAGCAGCAAAGUAUUUUUUACUUAAUGUACAUUGUUUUUUAGACAUGAUACUAACUGCACACUUAAUAGACUAUAGUGUAAAUAAGCAUAACUUAUCUGUGCACUGGGAAACCAAAAAAAUCACUUGAAUCUUUAUUGUUUUAUUCACUUUAUUGUGGUGGUCUGGAACUAAAGCCAUAGUACCUCUGGUAUGCCUAUAUACUGCAAACUAUGAACAUUGUGAGAAGAUUUAGCAAAGACCUAAAUAAAAUGAAAUGUGUGAUGGUCAUUGAAUUAAAAAUUUGAUAUUAUUAAGAUGGCAGUUUUCCCCAAUUUGACCUAUAGAUUCAACAUAGUCCUUUUUUUAAAAUUUCAUUAAUUUUUUUUAAUGUUUAUUUUUGAGAGAGAGAAAGAGCGCACAUGUGCACGGAAGUGGGAGGGGGCAGAGAGAGGGAAACACAGAAUCUGAAGCAGGCUCCAGGCUCUGAGCUGGAGUACAGAGCCCGAUGAGGUGCUCGAACUCACAAACCAUGAGAUCAUGACCUGAGCCAAAGUCGUACGCUUACUUGACUGAGCCACCCAGGCACCUUAGAUUCAACACAGUCCUAAUCAAAUUCCCAAGUAGCAUUUUUUGGCUAAUCAACAAGCUGAUUCUACAAUUUAUAUGGAAACCCAAAGGACCUAGCAGAAACAAUCUUGAAAAAGAAAACAAAAGUGAAGGACUUACACUACCUGAUUAUAAUGUUACAAUAAUCAAGUACAACAGGGGUGUUGGUAUCUUAGUAAACUACAGAUCAAUGUAACAGUAUAGAGAAUACAGAAACUAAUCCACAUGUAUACAAUAAUUGUUUUUUGACAAAAGAUUCAAGGUCAUUCAUUAGAAAAUGAAAAUCUUUUUUAACAAAAAGUAUAGGUACAACUGGGUAUCUGCAUGGAAAAAAAUAACCUUGGCCUUUGUCUCACAGCAUAAACAAACAUGAAUUUGGGGUGGAUCAGAGAUCUAAACAUAAAAUCUAAAUUUUAAAGCUUUUAAAAGGAAACACAGAAGAAUAUCUUCAUGAGCUUGGAGUAGGCAGAUAUUUUGGAUGGAAUACAGAAACACUAGCCAUGAAAUUAAAACUCAUAAGUUGGACUUCAUAAAAAGUAAAAAUUUCACCAUUAAGAUAAUAAAAAGGCAAGCCACAGAGUGGUUGAAUACAUUCUCAAUGUAUACGUUUAAAAAGGACCUGAAUCCAGAAUAUAUGAAGAACUCUCUCAAAUCAAGUAGACACCUGACAAAAGAAGAUGUAUGAAUGGCCAAUAAGCACGUAAAAGAAGCUUAUAUCAUUAAUCAGAGAUAUGCACUCUAAAAACAUAAAGACUAUGUCAUACCCUAUAGAAUAAUUAAAAUUUAAAGGAAUGACAAUAGGUCCAUACCCCUUGCUCUGUCCCUUCACUUUCCAAAUGAUUCAGUCCUAAAAUCAUUAUGUAGAACAGAGCAAGGUAGGUGCCACAUGAUGGAGAUUUGGGGGAAGGGGCAGCCUCAUUGGGUUAGAACAGUGUAUCAGGACUCUAGCAGGGUGAGGGGGCAGGCAUGUUUAGGAACAGUUCAACAUGGCAUAUUAGAGCAUAAGCAACUUGGGACAGGUGCUCACACAGAGGGAAGCCCGGUAUUAGAUGUCAGAGGCUACAGAGGAAGAGCCCAGAGUCCAUAAUGGGAGAUAGCCUAACAUGGGGAGUUAGAGCCCAAGCUGAGUGAGAAGGUAUCUGUGUGAGGGUGACCCAGCAUGGAAGUCAGAGCCUAAGUGGACUAAGGAGGUCAUCCACUUGGACAGGUGGCCCAAAGCAGGGUCUCAGAACCUGAGCAAGGAGAGGAGGGUAUCCUGGUAGAAAUAGUGAGAAGGGUGACCACACUGGGGAGGAGAUAGCAGUGGACAUGGGAGAUUGGAUAUAUUCAGUGUAUUGAUCAAAUAUGAAUAUAAUGAUAACAUAUGUCAGAGAAAAGAGCUAAAAAUAUGGAAAGUGGAAAAACAAAAGUGAACCCCACCGUAUGAGUUGUGUUAAAAUUGGAAGUAUUGGUGUAGACUCAUGGUUUUCAAUCAAUGUAAAGGGGGUAUGGAAAUAAACAUAGAUGUAAGUGUGUGCAUAGGUGUGUGUGUGUGUGUGUAUGUAUCCAUCCACAUAUUCCCUAGUUUUCUCCUGAGAGAGGCCUUGGAGCAGUGAUAUGCUAAUAACAAUGAGCACAUGAAGUGCCUAAAUCUUGGUUUCUAAAUACCAUCUUCCAUUAAAAGAAACAAAGACUCCUUGGAUAAAUGGCUGAUUCCAGAGGUAGGCAGAAAAAGUUCACGGCAAUAGUGAAUGUUCUUGUGCCAGAAAGCAGAGAAUUGUUCCAGGAAUGAUAGGGACAUUUCAAAAGGACACAGAAGUCACUUUAUAGGGCCAAAUAUGGUACAAUUUGAGUAUCAAAAUAAACAUUGAUAGUAAGAGAUUAUUACCUACUGAAGAACAUUGGAAAACACAAGUCCAUGCAGAUAUAAAUUAAUAAAUGAACAAA